rnacentral:rRNA from 1 species
CCUACGGGGGGCUGCAGUGGGGAAUAUUGGGCAAUGGGCGCAAGCCUGACCCAGCAAAGCCGCGUGAAGGAAGAAGGCUUUCGGGUUGUAAACUUCUUUUGUCAGGGAAGAGUAGAAGACGGUACCUGACGAAUAAGCCACGGCUAACUACGUGCCAGCAGCCGCGGUCAUACGAAGGUGGGCGGCGGUGUCCGGAUUUACUGGGGGUAAAGGGCGUGUAGCCGGGUUGACAAGUCAGAUGUGAAAUCCUGCGGCUUAACCGGAGAACUGCAUUUGAAACUGUUGAUCUUGAGUACUGGAGAGGCAGGUGGAAUUCCUAGUGUAGCGGUGAAAUGCGUAGAUAUUAGGAGGAACACCAGUGGCGAAGGCGGUCUUCUGGACAGCAACUGACGGUGAGGCGCGAAAGCGUGGGGAGCAAACAGGAUUAGAUACCCUUGUAGUC